UACGUAGGGUGCGAGCGUUGUCCGGAAUUAUUGGGCGUAAAGGGCGCGUAGGCGGCGGGGUAAGUCGGGUGUGAAAUCUCAGGGCUCAACCCUGAAACUGCACUCGAUACUGCUCUGCUUGAGGACUGGAGAGGAGACUGGAAUUCACGGUGUAGCAGUGAAAUGCGUAGAUAUCGUGAGGAAGACCAGUGGCGAAGGCGGGUCUCUGGACAGUUCCUGACGCUGAGGCGCGAAGGCCAGGGGAGCAAACGGG
rnacentral:rRNA from 1 species